rnacentral:rRNA from 1 species
UACGAAGGGGGACUAGCGUUGUUCGGAAUCACUGGGCGUAAAGCGCACGUAGGCGGCUUGUUAAGUCAGGGGUGAAAUCCUGGAGCUCAACUCCAGAACUGCCUUUGAUACUGGCGAGCUUGAGUCCGGGAGAGGUGAGUGGAACUGCGAGUGUAGAGGUGAAAUUCGUAGAUAUUCGCAAGAACACCAGUGGCGAAGGCGGCUCACUGGCCCGAUACUGACGCUGAGGCACGAAAGCGUGGGGAGCAAACAGG